GCUAUCGAUUUCCAAUAUGUCUACGUAAAUGUGAAGGUACACUGCAUAAAAGCGCACUAGACCUUUAGCCUCAGCCGUUAGCGCCACGACAUGCCACAACAUACCUACAAUAAUUAUACAACUACACAAUGAGACUGAUACUGAUGCUGGUAGGUACGUGUCAUGUUCGUGAACGGGCGCCAUCAACCGGGACUGAUCAGCUCCAGACUGUAUUAUUUUAUUGUCCUUAAGACCCAGUAGUUAAAAGGAGGCGGGACGCAUGAGGGAACUAACCUCCUCACGCCCCAGCCAUCGCGAAAGACAUUUCGGGCGUCGGGGAUUGCGCGCCGAUCUCCGGCCACGGCCGGCUGAUGCCUGAUCUGGAGCUGCAGACUACCUAGCAGGGUUACCGGGGCUCCGGUUCGAAAAGCAGGAGUAGGUUUGAGUCAGUAAGAGUUUGACAAUCCCUCUCGCCUCACCUAAGGCUAAGAAGUCAUAGGAUGAAUUUCCCCCCUCAAAAAAAAGGCCCAGUAGUUAAGUCAAAUAGUGUAUUAUUAUAUUCACUUUGAACUAAUUUAUUUAUUUAUUAAAUUUGAACACUGUUUACAAAUACGGCACUCACAAUACAGAUUCUAAGGAUUUCAAUCACACUGAUCGACUGACAGUAUCUCCAGUACGUAGUUGUCCGCUCGGAGUCCAAGACAAGAGUGUCUGCUGUGGUGCAAUGUUGAAUCGUCAAUCGCAAUCUCCCUUUCUAUUCGACGGACGUGACAUGAACUCCUGUACUAAUGACGCUGCCGACUGUACUAUGUUUGCUCUUUUACACCGCCUCAGUCGGUCACUGAGUAUUGAGUAACUAAGCAACAAGUAAUGUGAACCUGGCGUAACGAAACGCUGAUCAAGUUGCUUGUCUAGAUGGGCGGGAGGGCGAUAAUGUGAUCGUUGUGUUCCGAUAAUAUUGUUACUAAGAUUGAAUUUACUGAUUACCUAAAUCAAUUCUUAAGUUGAUAUUUAUAUAACAAGUACCUACAAAUUAAACAAAUUGGUUAUUUUGAUAACUUUGAAAAAACAUUGAUAAAAAUUUUAUUAGCAUUCCUUAGUUUAUUUUUUAUUUCUUUUAUAAUUUAACUCCUAAAUUAAUAUUGUUUUCUUUUAUAUAAUUAUAACGCCUAUACCCUAUUACUUUAUACUUACUACCAGCUUACUACUUAUUUCAAAAUAAUAAUAAUAAUCUUUAAUUAUCUUUAUUGCUCGACUUGGCGAGGGCCCUGCCGUGCCCCCAAAUACAUUGUAGUAAAAUAGUCAAAGUACCUAUACAUAAACAUCUUAAUUAAAUCAUAGCUCUCGCAAAUUUAGAAUACCUGUAGGUACCAGGAACAAUGUUCUGUAUCACAGACGAGUGAAGCACAAAAUGAAAAGAACUUCGUUCCAAUCGUGAGACCCACAUGGUCAUACCUCACUUCUUUUCCUUUGUUAGCUCUAAUAGUACCUUCGGUUGGAAGGCCGAUGUGGUUUUACACAUUAUCGGUAAUAUUAUACAUAUAUGGAGAAUUCUUAUUAUUGUAUAACGUAGUACACAAAGGCGUAACCAAAGAUCGUGAAAUACAUUCCAGAUUUGAUUUAAAUAUUAUGAGCUGUAAUGCCUUAGCCUCAAGCUACUUUGUCACUUGUUAUGGCUUAAUUUGUUACUCAAUGUAGUUGAUGUGUAAUAUGUAGGCAGGUAUUACCCCAGAACUACCGACCACGCCACGGUUUGCCAGUGGUCAGGAUCACACGUGUCUCGCGUGUUAUAUGGUUUGUUCACCGCCACAGCCACUGCGGCUGACCAUGUUGCUCACAAUAUUGGAUCGGGGUUGGCGUUUGUUGAAAAAAAUAACAAAAUUAAUCGGAAAUGCAAGUUUAUUAUUUUAAAAGCAUGUCGUCUUCACGUUCGUCGCUGAUAAGUAAAUUACGCUCACACAUAGUUAUACAUUUAUAUAUGUAUUUGUAGGAAAUGAUGUCGUAAGUCGCGACUCACGCGGCGUGCGCUACGCUGGCUGUACAAGAAGCGAAACAUUGAUCCUCUCCACCGCGGAGGUACACGCCACUCCGUGACUGUAGCACUGUGUGCCACUGGCACUGCCAUACUGGCACUCGCUGCAGUCAGGGAGUGGAGAGUACACUCCGGGUUACAACAGCCUGCAAGGAGACACCGCAACUGUAACUAUACAAUAAACGGGACUAUCAUUAUAAUCUCUUAUACUCAUGAUAAACCUGUUAUCGUGAGCAUUCAUAGUUUGUCUGACUAGGUGGCUCUUGUAGCUACUAAACAAACCCUAGCCGAUGUCCAAUAUCACGGCAUCUGGUAACAAUAGGCAACGGACAGCUAAUGUCACCAAAUUACUGAUCAACUUCUAUUACCAUUUAAUAAACAAAUUAAAAAAGGAGUUUUCUCAAGUA